CUUCAGUAUCUUGGGUUUGGGGAGUGAGAAAGAUGAGAGAGAUGAGAAAAAGAGUAUAAAUAGAAAUGAAAACUUUAGGGAUAAAAAGAAAAUAUGAAGCUCUUGAUUAAGCAACAAAGAACCUUCCCCCUAAUAAUAAAAAAAAAAAACAAAGAAAAAGAAAAAAUCAUGGAGAAGUUAGGGAAGGGAAUGAAAAAGAGUAGAGUUUGUAAAGAGUGAAUUAAAAUCCCUAGUAGUUGAGUCAAAAUAAAAAGAGAGUUGUUCAUUGGGUGAAUGAUGUGAGGGGUUUACUUUGAUUUUGAGAUGAUGAUAAAAAGGGGGUAGAACUUGUG
rnacentral:lncRNA from 1 species